UACAGAGGGUGCAAGCGUUAAUCGGAAUUACUGGGCGUAAAGCGUGCGUAGACGGUUAUGAAGUCAGAUGUGAAAGCCCCGGGCUCAACCUGGGAAUUGCAUUUGAGACUGUGUAGCUAGGGUGCGGAAGAGGGAAGCGGAAUUUCCGGUGUAGCGGUGAAAUGCGUAGAUAUCGGAAGGAACACCAGUGGCGAAAGCGGCUUCCUGGUCCAGCACCGACGUUCAGGCACGAAAGCGUGGGGAGCAAACAGG
rnacentral:rRNA from 1 species